GACAGAGGGUGCAAACGUUGCUCGGAAUUACUGGGCGUAAAGCGUACGUAGGCGGCUUUGUAAGUUAGAGGUGAAAGCCCGGAGCUCAACUCCGGAAUUGCCUUUAAGACUGCACCGCUUGAAUCAUGGAGAGGUUAGUGGAAUUCCGAGUGUAGAGGUGAAAUUCGUAGAUAUUCGGAAGAACACCAGUGGCGAAGGCGACUAACUGGACAUGUAUUGACGCUGAGGUACGAAAGCGUGGGGAGCAAACAGG
rnacentral:rRNA from 1 species